UACAGAGGGUGCAAGCGUUAAUCGGAAUUACUGGGCGUAAAGGGUGCGUAGGUGGUUACGUAAGUUAGAUGUGAAAGUCCUGGGCUUAACCUGGGGAUGGCGUCUAAUACUGCGAAGCUAGAGUACUGUAGAGGAAAGUGGAAUUUCCGGUGUAGCGGUGAAAUGCGUAGAUAUCGGAAAGAACACUCGUGGCGAAGGCGACUUCCUGGACUCAUACUGACGCUGAGGCGCGAAAGCGUGGGGAGCAAACAGG
rnacentral:rRNA from 1 species